rnacentral:lncRNA from 1 species
CAUUCGUCUCCGAUGGUCUAAUCCUUCUUUCUUACUUUGAUGAACUAAACUUCCUGUCGCAUGUAAUUAGAAGUUCGAAGCAAAGACUAAUUAAUAAAUAAAACUACUAUAUAAAUGAUUAAAUGGUGAUUAAUAUUUACAAGAAAUUAAUUGAAGUUGCGAAGAUUGAUCUGCACCUUGGAUAGCUGAGAAAUUUUGAAUUCUGGCUUCUAUAAGCAAGGGACAUGAACAGACUGACAAAACUAUAUAGGCAAUAAGUAAAGUGGAGACAGCUGCAUUUAUUCUUCCGUGGCACCUCGACAUAAUUAUUAUUCCAAUAAGAAAUGGAGAAAGUAUUUGGUUGCAACUAAAACAAUUGAACUACCUAUCCUUUUAUACAAUCACUGAGAAGGAAGGAAAAUCAGAAGUCAAGCUUCGAAUUAAUUGUGCUCGGAAAUGGAAAUGUUCAAGCUUUGAAAUUGAAGUUGUCAAAGGAGAAAAUGGCAUCUGAACUAGGAGAAAAUGGUUUAAUUCUCUAGAAAAUUGAAAUGCAUCCAAUUUUCUUAUGUUUAAGCAGAGAAUGCUAGGUGUAGAUUAAAUUGCAUGUGAACGCUGAAAAAUAUAUUUCUGUCGUGCAUGUUGUGAUGGAAAAGUUCCUUUUUAAUGUAAGACAUGCAAUGCAUUGUUUAAUGCCGAGUCAUUUUGUUCAGUGAAAACAGCUAAAAAUGUAGAAUUAUAUAGAGCUUAGAUGAAGAGCUUUCUGAGAGUGCAAAGAGAUUUCUUUGUGAAAGAGUCCAAAGAAAGGGAGUAUAUGCCAGUGAGCUCUUAGAAAGUUUGGGAGAGCAUUUCCUUGGGUGUUCAGUUUGGGUCUGCGCUAUUUGUAGAGAUAUGAGAGAAUAUGUGUCUUGGGAAAACUGUUUUUCUCGAGAUGUAUAAAAGUACUGGGUGUGUUUGAGUAUUGGGGAAGAUGAGGUUUUGUUACUCAAAUUUGUACUCUAUUAAUUAUUAGUAAAACAAUUGUUCUCUUUUACCUGCGGGGACAUAUGCUUUAUUGUUGAACCAUAUUAAAUUCUUGUGUCUAUUAUUUUCUUAUGAAAAUUUGGUGCUUAUUGAUUUCGGUUUGCGCAAAAGUGGUAUCAAACCAUAAGAAAUGACGCUUCUAGAGCACAACAUCCCUACUAGCAAUUUGUCACCAACUUUUGAUCACAUUAUGUUAUGGUUUAGAAAUCAAUAAAUUCAGCUAUAUAAAUUCUAGAUUUACAUAUAAUUCAUUAAUUUUGAAAGUGCCUCUUGCCAGUAAUAGCGUCUCCUAUUAGGAUCUUACCCAGUUUUCGUAGCAGGAACAAGGAUUUUAGUUUUGCUGGCCCAGUCUUUCUGUGGGGCGAGCGAAAAUCAAGAAGUCACAAAUUUAAGUUUGCUAUGACAUGAAAUAAGUACCCUAAUGCAGAAAUAUUAAGUUAGAGUCCAGAAAAACUAUUAAAUCAUAGGGAUUAUCAAAUUGAUUGUAUAUAAAUAUCAACCACGAUAUUUAUAGCUGAGAAGUUCGCAAAUACUGGCAAGAGCUGCUUUCAUAAUCAACCAUCCAUUUCUCAGCUAUCUGUUGGAGAAUUAACAAAUAAAACACACAAAAAACACACAAUUUUAUUUCUUUAACAACACUCCUCACUAAUUACAACUCUUAUUUUUCACUCUCUACACCUUAGAGAUUUUGCUACUUCACUUCAUAUUUAAACCAAAGGGGAGAGGGGGUAUUUAUACAUGAAAUAAACUAAUCACAACCAUUCAUUUAUUCAACUAAUAAACAAAUCCUCACCAUCCAUUAAAACCUACCACUCACCUACUUCACCAACCACACCUAACACACCUAACACACCUAACACAAAUAAUUCAAACCUCACAAACCAUAC